GAUGAACGCUGGCGGCGUGCCUAACACAUGCAAGUCGAACGGAGUUAUAUGAAGUUUUCGGACGGAAUAUAACUUAGUGGCGGACGGGUGAGUAACGCGUGGGUAACCUGCCUCAUACAGGGGGAUAACAGUUGGAAACGGCUGCUAAAACCGCAUAAGCAUACAUUGCCGCAUGGCAGAGUGUGAAAAUAUUUAUAGGUAUGAGAUGGGCCCGCGUCUGAUUAGCUAGUUGGUGGGGUAAAGGCCUACCAAGGCGACGAUCAGUAGCCGGCUUGAGAGAGGUACCGGCCACGUUGGGACUGAGACACGGCCCAAACUCCUACGGUAUGCAGCAGUGGGGAAUAUUGCACAAUGAGGGAAACCUUGAUGCAGCGACGCCGCGUGAGUGAAGAAGUAUUUCGGUAUGUAAAGCUCUAUCAGCAGGGAAGAAAAUGACGGUACCUGACUAAGAAGCCCCGGCUAACUACGUGCCAGCCGCCGCGGUAA
rnacentral:rRNA from 1 species